CCGCUUAUUGAUAUGCUUAAGUUCAGCGGGUAGUCCUACCUGAUUCGAGGUCAACCUGGAGAAAUAGUUGGUUGCUUUUCAGCGUCGGCCAGCGCCGGCCGGGCCUACAAGAGCGGGUGACAAAGCCCCAUACGCUCGAGGACCGGACGCGGUGCCGCCGCUGCCUUUCGGGCCCGUCCCCGGGGGGACGACGACCCAACACACAAGCCGUGCUUGAGGGCAGCAAUGACGCUCGGACAGGCAUACCCCCCGGAAUACCAGGGGGUGCAAUGUGCGUUCAAAGACUCGAUGAUUCACUGAAUUCUGCAAUUCACAUUAAUUAUCGCAUUUCGCUGCGUUCUUCAUCGAUGCCAAGGUACGGAC
rnacentral:misc_RNA from 1 species